rnacentral:lncRNA from 1 species
CUGAGGGUGAUGACGGCGCACCAAGGAGGCCAGGGUAAGAGAAUCAGGGCUGGCUCCCUGAUGGCAGUGUGACUGGAAGACACCACAAGCGAAGCCAGAACCCCUUCUGGAUUCUUCAGUUAUGCCAGAAAGCUGGUUUCAGGAGCCUUCAUCCAAGCACUAAAUCCAUCUAAUUGGUUUGAAAAGCACUGGGCGGAUCAACAUCCCGUCAGCCCACCACUGUAAUGAUGUCAGUGACAUUUAUGCCUGAGACGAAGGAUGCGGAAUGAAUGGAGAUUAGCCCCCAGCCCUGUGGGGCGGGACUAUCCGCUGUGACCUCCAUUCCACAGAGAAGGAGACGGAGGGGCAGAGAGUUUUUGUGACCUCUCCAAGC